rnacentral:rRNA from 1 species
CUACGGGUCGCUCCAGUGGGGAAUAUUGCACAAUGGGCGCAAGCCUGAUGCAGCUAUGCCGCGUGUAUGAAGAAGGCCUUCGGGUUGUAAAGUACUUUCAGCGGGGAGGAAGGGAGUAAAGUUAAUACCUUUGCUCAUUGACGUUACCCGCAGAAGAAGCACCGGCUAACUCCGUGCCAGCAGCCGCGGUAAUACGGAGGGUGCAAGCGUUAAUCGGAAUUACUGGGCGUAAAGCGCACGCAGGCGGUUUGCUAAGUCAGAUGUGAAAUCCCCGGGCUCAACCUGGGAACUGCAUCUGAUACUGGCAAGCUUGAGUCUCGUAGAGGGGGGUAGAAUUCCAGGUGUAGCGGUGAAAUGCGUAGAGAUCUGGAGGAAUACCGGUGGCGAAGGCGGCCCCCUGGACGAAGACUGACGCUCAGGUGCGAAAGCGUGGGGAGCAAACAGGAUUAGAUACCCCCGUAGUC